UGAGUAUAGCAAGGAUGUUUAGUAUAUUUAGCAAAGAGGCAAUCAAACAAUAUUUGACUGUAGUAGCCACAAACUAAUAAAGGCAGUUAUGAACACAUGAAGUAGCUGAUAAAGUUUUAUUGGAAUUAGCAUAUAAACACCGUAGUUCCACAUCAGAGCUCAUCUGACCCACUAGUAAGCCAACACAUAUGAUUACCACUUCACCACUUUCUUUUCGCUAACUAGCUCCCCGUGAGGUGGCGUUGCAAUAAAGGAAGUGUAAACAUUAGACAACUCUUUACAGGAAGUGUUUAGGAAGGCUGUGCAAGACAAAUGCAGGGAGGUGUGACUAGUGUUGCAUAAACAAAGAUUUAAAUUCUAAAUGGCAGAAAAUUGAGUAGUGACACCGCAGGGCCAUGACCUAUACACCAAAACGGCUUCAGUAAGCUGUGGUUGUUCUGUGACUAUAGUGUCCCUUUAUGUUAAUGUUAAAAUGUUAAUUCACAAUCAAAACACUGUUUUAAGUAUUUUUUAUGAAAAAAUUAAAAAGAAGACAAAAAAACUAUACAAAUCAAAGAGCAAUGAGUAGAGGCAAGGAUGUUUUGUAAAACUAGCAAAAAUGCAAUCAAACAAUAAUUGACUGCAGCACGCAUAAACAAAUAAAGGCAGGCAUGAACAAACGAAGUGGCUGAUAACAUUUUAUGGGAAUUAGAAUAUAAACGAUGUAGUUCCAAAGCUCAUUUGACCCACUAGUAAGCCAACACAUAUUGUUACCACUUCACCACUUUCUUUUCGCUAACUAGCUCCCCGUGAGGUGCCGUUGCAUCAGGCGGCAGGAGAGCCAGAUAAACGGGAGUCUCGGCACCUUCAUCUGGAGACUUUGGAGCAUUUGGACCGGCCAUAUCGGUUCUCACCCACCCUGGGCAACAGGCAUUAAGUAUUAUUCCAUCCCCUUUCCUCGUUGCGUCUAACUCUCUUGCUUGGAUCUUGGAGAGCACAGUCACUCCUAUUUUAGAUGUUCCGUAAGCAGUGUUUGGCCAACCUUCUUUUUGAUGUAUGUCUUGCUUGGCAUCUUCUACAAACUUUUCCAUAAGUUUGACCAGUUCCUCCUCUGUGAUCGACUCACUGCGAAAGACCUUCUGUAACUCUGGGCUGCAACGUCCCAAAGAAUUGUAGCUAACUAUGCUGGAAACAUUGACCACUCUCCCUAAGGGAACAGAAACAUUGAUUAUAUUAUUAACAUUACUGCAGUUCUACAGCACUCUCAGCGGUAAGAGGAGGCUCAGGAUUCUCUGUGCACCAUCACCUCUGAAAUUCAUUUUAGCAUGUGCUUAACUAAGAAGAUUCAUAUUUCCAAAGGAUUAUCACAGACCAAUCGUUCAAAGGAACAUUCCAAACACCAUAACCACUAUAGUAGUUUAACUUCUUACAUAGGGUCUGCUUCCGCUAGCUCUCCUGAGAUAAGCUCUGAUGAAUCUCAGCUGAUGAGCUAAGCCCUGCGCCGCCAGAGAAAGGGAAAGAGCAGAGUACUUGCAAAGCUGAUUUUAAUCUUUCCCCAAAUAAAACAUAUGGACACAAAUACAUGCAUAUUUUCUUCGUGGAAUAUAUCUACUAAAUUCUUAAAAAUAUAUAUAUAUAAAUAAUGUGACGAGAGCAAUCUCGCCACAUUGCAUUGGAGAAGCCUGGUUGCUCGCCUGUUGCCUUUGGAUUAUGGCCCCAUGUUAAAAGGCUUGAUUUUCCCCUGCAAAGACAAGAAAGCCGGGUCAUUUGGUGCUUGCCCUGUUUGAGCAGUGAUACCCCAGAUAGCUAUGCCAUGGAGCCCAUUCGUAUAAUGAAAGACUAUGGGAAAGACUUUGGCUCCAUGGCAAUUGAACUGUAUGUGUGUGCUCUGAGCGCCAUUCAGUAAUAAUGUGCGCUCAGACCUAAGCUAUCUGGGCAUAUGUUGCAUGUCUGUAUUUUAUGUCAUAAAUGUAACCUUGUGUAUUUUAUUGUAUUUUACUGUCUUUUGCUGCCAUGUGUUCAAUGGAGUUUUGCCUCUGUCUUUGGAGAUAAUUGGAUUACUUCUAAUUAUCUCCAGGAUAGAAGACUCUGUGGAACUGGUUUUGGGCAGAAAAGCCAUGCUUCCUGUGGUCACAAAGGACUACAAUCUAUCUUUUGAACCACUGGACCAAUUUGUAUGAUUUUGACGUAUGUUUGUAUUUGGAGUAUGCUGAUUCUGAAAAUGUAAGUUUUAUGUGAAUGUGAUGCAUACUUUUCAAGUUAUGAAUAAUGUGGAAAAAUUGUAUUUCUCUGCUUGUGCUAAAUUACAUUACCCAUUGUGUAAGGUAAUUGAAUCACAUGCAGAGGGGAGGAAUUUGUGUGGGAGUGUCUGAGUGUAUUGUAUGUGUUUAUUGGUUGUGUUCCAAAACCCUGUGGGUGGUACUAAUGUGUAAGAAUGUGUACAUAAGCACAAUAAACCCACAGCUCUGUCUGUUCACUGUUGAUUUUAGCCAAUCCAAUGCCAUUUUGAUUAUGUCACAAAGGGGGCAGAGCCAGCGCCACAGAAAUAAGGUGAGUUUUAAACUUUUAUAGCAGGGCUAAGGGGGGGCAAGCCACCGAAAUGGUGGGUUUAGCACUAUAGGGUCAGGAAUACAGGUUUGUGUUCCUGACCCUAUAGUGAUCCUUUAACAGUUAGUAAAUGGCUUCACAAUCUAUUUCAGUCGAGGCACUGCCCAGGCACACAAUGCAAAUGAGGAGAAGCACAAGGAUUGUAUAUUUCUUCUCUCUCUCUGUAUGCUUUCUAUAUGCUGACAGCCAGGUGCAAAGGACAACGCUUAUAACAAUGUGUCAAGGAAGAAAAUCUCAGGCACUCACCGUUAAGCAGCUUUAAUGGAUACUGCAACGUUUCAACAUUUUCAACAUGUACUCAGGUCUUUGUCAAGCUUUUUGUUUUUAUUUUUUAACGCUUAUAACAAUGACUGACUAAGAUGGAGGCUCCCAGCUUCAGGACAGAGAUGUGUAGAUUUCUAAAUGAAUUUUUAUUUUUUGCACCUCUCAAACAUUCAUUUGCUAAGUACAUGGGAUAAGUAAACAUAAUAUUAGAAAUUGGUGAUAAUAAUAAUAAUAAUAAUAAUAAUGAAAGAAAAUGGUGGUACUACUCUAAUAUAUGAGAUAACAGCUUGUUGACUCAAGGAGGAAUCUAGUUGCUAUUUGAAGUAAAAUAAUUGUCUCCCAUUUUGUGGCACAUUUGGAAAUCACUUUCUUACCUUCAUAUAUCAACAUCAUAGUUGGAAUUUAAAUCUCUUUUCAACAUAUCUUACUAUGUGAUUAAGCAAUUCUGGUAAUCUCACCGUGCGGCUUAAUUAAUGGCAGCAGUUCCUUGCAAACAUCCCUAGUGCCAUAGAAGUUGGUUUUCAUUGUGACUUCGGCUUGGGUACCAAAUGGAGUAGUGUCAGCAACUGGUAGCAAAAACAAAACAAAACCAUAAUUAUAUUUAAAUUAGUUGAAAUAACAGUGUGCAGGGUUGCCAUCAGACAUUUUGGCUCCCCUGACACAGCUCAUGGUCUUGGGCCCACUCCCGAGUCCUCCCACAAGGAUGUAAUUUGUUUGUGUAGUGGAUAUGUGUGUGUGUGUGUAGGUGUGUGCAAUGGACGCAGAGUAGGUGUGUGCAAUGGACGCAGAGUAGGUGUGUGCAAUGGACGCAGAGUAGGUGUGUGCAAUGGACGCAGAGUAGGUGUGUGCAAUGGACGCAGAGUAGGUGUGUGCAAUGGACGCAGAGUAGGUGUGUGCAAUGGACGCAGAGUAGGUGUGUGCAAUGGACGCAGAGUAGGUGUGUGCAAUGGACGCAGAGUAGGUGUGUGCAAUGGACGCAGAGUAGGUGUGUGCAAUGGACGCAGAGUAGGUGUGUGCAAUGGACGCAGAGUAGGUGUUUUGUGGAUGAUGUGUGUAGUGGCUGGGGGCUUGUAGGAGCUGGAGAGAGCGUCUGGAAGUUGAAGAUUACAUGUGCUGUGCCCCCUCUUCACUAUACAUGAUGUCGGGGGCCUGCAGGGGCAGUGGUGAAACUAACGUAAGUGCCCUGGUGCAAGACUUUUUUGGGCCUUCUAGCACAAGGGUGGCCAAAAUGUAGAUCCCCAUCUGUCGUACAAAUCCCAGAAUGCUUUGUCAGGUGGGGAUCUAUAAUUUGCCCAUACUUGCUGGAUUGUAUUUGGCACUGAGCAGUGUUUGUGCUUUUGAAUGUAAGCAUGUGUUUGUAAUGAGUAUGUGUGUGUGAAUGUUGGAUUUUGAAUGCAGGUGUGCAUUUGUGUGUAGUGUGAGACACACACAGAUACACACAGAUACACACACAUACUCUGACAUUCAUACAGAUACACAAACACACACACACACUGACAUACAUGCAAGUACACAGAUAUACAGACACACAGUAACACACACAGAUAAACACAUUGACACACAUACAAACACACACGCAGGUGCACACUAACACACAGAUACAGACACAGAUACCCACACUGACACACAGUUUCCCGUUAAAGGGGCCUGAUCGUGCUAUUAGAAAGCCCCAGUGCAUGACCAGGCCCAUUAAGACAUAUGCCAAUCGGGUGGUCCUAAGUGCACCAGCCACCCUAUGGGUCUCUUUGGCGUGUGGGCACAUAGUUCAACUGCUGCGCAGGACACACACACACAUAUAUAUAUAUAUAUAUAUAUAUAUAUAUAUAUAUAAAUAAAUAAAUAAUCGCUGUAUAUGUGCACAUUUGGAAUGUGAUGCCUGGGCGUCUGGACUCCCAGGACAGUGGGACGUUACAGCCAUCAUGGUUGUCACCCCCUGAUGUUGACCCGACAGCACUGUAACCCCACUCCCCCCAACCCCCGAAAAAUGAAUAUUUCAUAAAGAUAGAAUCCUUAUAAAAUACUAUUUAUGACUAUGUUCCAAUUUCACUGAAAUUCCACCCCAAUCAAGAGAUAUAGAGAGACAAAGUAGGGACUCCAUGUAUGUAUUCCAUUUGUCCUCUGCCUGACGUUCUUAGACUCAUGGCGGAGUCUAAGUGUCAAUACCAACAGCCAUCACCAGUGAUGGAUGCAGGGAAUUGGCUCGGUCUGUGGAGGAUCCUCCAUAGACCUCACUGCUGUAUUCUCAUUUCAGUCAAUAAGUCACAAACAGUCCAGUUUUGUCCAAAUAUUCUAUACUUUACAACAGGGGUGCCCAAAAGGUAGAUCCCUGGAUGUUUUAAAACUAAAGCUUCCACAAUACUUUGCCCAGUCUAAAACAUUCUAAAAACCAUGUAAAGCAUCAUGGGAAUUGUAGUUCCACAACAUCUGGGGGUCUACCUUUUGAGCACCCGUUUCUACAGCUAUUGUAACAGCUUGGCUACUUCAGCCUUUAUUUUGCAAUUCAGUAUUUCAUUCAGUGUCAUUCAUUGUUUUAGAAUGAAUUUUAAAUUGUGCCCAGAGUUAUAAGUAUUAUAAAACAUGAAUACUGAUACAAAGUUACUGGUAAGUAUUUCCAUAGCAACUGCUCCACAUAAAGGCUCCCCAGAUAUGCUCUUUGCCCUUUAAUUGGAAACAGGAGUCCAGCCUCUCCUAACCCCAUACUGUACAUUAUCACUAUACAAUAAUACAGGGGGCAUUUCUUACAUGUAGUUUCUUUACUACCUGACCGCAGUGUGUGCACAGUACCUCUAUUCCUGUUACCCCAGGGGCAGUCAGGGCAGCCAUACCCACCUUUAAAAGCAAUGCCAGCGUUGUUGAUGAGUACAUCGAUGCCCCCAUACUUGUCCUUUAGGAAAUCCCUGAGAGCCUGGAUGCUGGGUAUGUCAGUGAUGUCCAACUGGUGGAAGAGGGGGGACAAUCCUUCCUUCUCCAGGGCCUUGACAGCUUCCUCCCCCAGUUUCGGGUUCCUGGCAGUGAGAUAAACAUCCCCCUUGAACUGCUUGCAUAAGGCUUUGACUACAGCCAGCCCAACCCCCUUAUUGCCCCCUGUGACUACUGCAACCUUUACACUGGCCAUGAUGUAACCCUGAGCUGCUGCUACAAACAAGGAACAGGAGCUGAGUGAUACUGUGCUUAUUAUAACCGAUAACAGGCUUGGUUUGAAGAUCCCACCUCUUAAGGCUGGACUGAGUUAUAA